rnacentral:lncRNA from 1 species
GCCUCUCAGGUUCAAGCGAUUCUCCUGCCUCAGCCUCCCGAGUAGCUGGGAUUACAGGUGCGUGCCACCAUGCCUGGCUAAUUUUUGUAUUUUUAGUAGAGACAGGGUUUCACCAUGUUGGUCAGGCUGAUCUCAAUCUCCUGACCUCGUGAUCCACCCACCUUGGCCUCCCAAAGUGCUGGGAUUACAGGCAUGAGCCACCAUGCCCGGCCUGGAUGCCGUAUU